rnacentral:lncRNA from 1 species
UAUUUACGUGUGGGGUUGAACAGAGUUUUGGGCCUGCUUCUGCACACUUCUCUAUUGAGCUACCCAUGGCCCUCCAAGCCCUGUCACUUAUUUUUAAAGGGUGUACUUCUUCAAUCUAGCCUAGUUGAUGUGGGCCUGCAAAAAUCCAAGAAGCGAUCAUUGUGGAAGCUGCCAAUCUGCUCUGAGAAUGUGUAUGUGUGAAUACAAAUGUUCACUCUCUCCUUUCCAGGAGCCCUCUGGAGCCAGUGCCCAGUGCUCCAUGUGAGAUCAAGGCCAUGCAAUUCUGUUUAUAGUGUGAAAUACAAAACUUCCAGAGAGUGGGAGCACAGCUAUCCUGGAAGGAGAAAAUAUCAUGUAUUUUGAAAUAGUUUUGAUGUGUUGCAUCUUUAUUUUGUUUUUCAGUGACUUUUUUUAAAAGCCAAGUCUACAUAUUGAAAAUACAUGUGGAUUAAAUAUUUUCCUAAAGGGAAGCUAUAUCAACAUAGGCCCAUUUAGUUUUUGUUUUAAUGUCAAGUUCAACACCGAGGUCUAUUAAAGUAAAAAUGUAAAGAGAACUGUCUUCUUAUAGAUAAUUCCCUUUAGGACAGCCAAACUGGGUGUUAGUUCCCUCUCUAGGGUAUGUGUUCUGCAAGAGGAUGCAGCUGCCAGCUGAGCCCUGGUCAAUCUGAACCACACAGCAGUCAGUCAUACACCCUGAGACUCCAGGUACACAUCCUGAUCCUGAUGAAAGAAGACUCUCGAGGACAUCAUGAUGCUUCUAAUUAAUUUAAAGUUUAAUUAUUCAAAUUUGUGUUUGAUAUUUUGCAUUUAUACUAAUCAAGCAAAGAAUCCAUUAUGAAACACUUGUUAUUAGAAUUUUAUCCCCCCUCUUGCUUGGAUUAUUGUCAUUGUGUCCUAACUAGUGUGUCUGUCUGUUCUUAGGGAAUUUGAACUCUAAUUAAGAUUGCAAAUUAAAAAUCAAGAUGCCCCAUUGAAUGUAAAUUUCCAAUAAGCAACUUUUUUAAAGUAUAAGUUUG